rnacentral:rRNA from 1 species
UACAGAGGUCCCAAGCGUUGUUCGGAUUCACUGGGCGUAAAGGGUGCGUAGGCGGUCGGGUAAGUCUGAUGUGAAAUCUUCGAGCUCAACUCGAAAAUGGCAUUGGAUACUAUUCGGCUGGAGGGUUGGAAGGGGGACUGGAAUUCCAGGUGUAGCGGUGAAAUGCGUAGAUAUCUGGAGGAACACCGGUGGCGAAGGCGGCGUUCUGGACUGCAACUGACACUGAUGAACGAAAGCCAGGGGAGCAAACGGG